GAUGAAGAACGUAGCGAAAUGCGAUAAGUAGUGUGAAUUGCAGAAUUCAGUGAAUCAUCGAAUCUUUGAACGCACAUUGCGCCCUUUGGUAUUCCGUAGGGCAUGCCUGUUCGAGCGUCAUUUAAACCUUCAAGCUAAGCUUGGUGUUGGGUGACUGUCCGCUUCACGGCGGACUCGCCUCAAAAUUAUUGGCGGCCGGUACAUUGGCUUCGAGCGCAGCAGAAACGCGAACUCGGGCCCGUCGUAUUGGCUCCCAGAAGCUAUCUUCACAAUUUUGACCUCGGAUCAGGUAGGGAUACCCGCUGAACUUAAGCAUAUCAAUAAGCGGAGGA
rnacentral:misc_RNA from 1 species